AAUUCAGCUUCCAAAUACGAGCCAUAACCAACAACACCAAAACGAAGACGCAAGAUGAAAUUCAAAAUGCAACAGCAACUACAGAAGCGUGAACCAAAACGCGAGCUGCGAUUUCCAGUGAAAGCCAAGACGACGAAAACGAGAGUUGCAUAAGCCACAUGCGCCAAUCGUGCUAAAACAGAAGCUGCAACUGUAAAACUCAACAACAUGAACGACGACAUCAAACAAUUAAAACGCAGCGGGAACGCGGUGAAGACCAAUACAAUCAAACACAACAAAAAACCGUGUUGCAAUGACAGAAGUGCUACAGUACCAAACGCGUUCAAAACGGCGACCAUAACUCAGCUCAACACAACAAUAAAUGACGUACAAGCGUAUCCAAACGGCAAUGAAAAGUAGAAAACAACAUAAGUAAAAACGCAACAAACAGAAUUGAAAACGUGAAUUGCAUUUCAAAGUUCAAUUUCACUCAAAUUCAUACUUUAACUGCACUAAAAGCUAACCAGAUUUAACGGAUCAACUAACGACAUUAGAACCUCUAACCAACUUGAGCCUGGUGAUGCUAACAGAAUCCUAACUCUGUUAAAGCUUCAAUCCCUAUAAAUCAUCCAUCAUCUUCUCCACUCAAAAGCUCUCGCGAAUUCCAUUUUUUUCACCAAUACACUUCACUCUUCAUCAACCCAUCCACAAUGAAUCCACCAAAAGCGAUUCAUCAAACACUCAUAGCAGAAGGAGAUUCAACAACAAAUCGAUCACGCAGGAUGCAAGAAGAUACGCAACAGUUGUGCAGAGGGAGAAGAAGAAGCAAUCGAAAACCGAAGCGGGAAAAAAGUUCAUACUCGAUACCUGCUAGAUUCGAUUAGUGUUUGAACAACGCGAAUCACGAAUAUCGGAAGCACGGUUGAAGAACGCAAGGCCGAGGCGGACAAAUUGCUAUUGGAUUCAAUCUCUUCUUGUUGUUUGUGUCGAAACACAAGGGAUGCAAGGUUGAUGAUGAAUGGACGGCGAUGAGAAGAGAAUAACGCGUCAUGGAAGCACUUUUGGAGGAAUCACUUUUUUUGAUUCAGUUUCAUUUUGCACGAAGAACGCCAAGAUAGACUGAACUUGGUCUCUCGUUCAAUUACCUUGCCAAAUCGGACCCCGUUUAGGCCCAAGACCCAAACAGGUUGCAUAUCUACAACCAAACAACCUCACCUUGCACCCCACAUUCUAUGGGCCUGUACCUCCAACUGGAUCUUGGCCCAAUCCCUUAGGUUUUUGGUUGAUCUAUUUUGUUGUUAAUUAAUUAUAGAUUAUUGGAAGGUAGUUAGGAUUUCAGAUUUAACUGGUUAUAGAAUUUUAGUUUAAAAAAUGAUUAGGUGUUAAUUAGAUUUUAGAUUUCUAAUCAGAUAAUUAGAACUAGUUAAUUAGAAUUAGAAAUAUAAGAGAAAUAAGUAGGAAUUGAGGUUGAUUAAAAUUUAGAAUUAGAAUAUUAAAUUUAGAUUAGAGUUUUGGAAAAUUAAUUAGGAUGAUUAGAAAUUUUAGAAUAAUUAGAUUUAUUUUAGAAUUUAAUUGAAUUUAAUUGGAAUUUUCAUGUAUAGAAAUUAAUCCAUAAUUGUGAAUUAACGAUUUUACCCCUAGACUUAGAAAUAGGCUAAAUCUUGCCUGCUCCCCUAGUUUUAGGAUUUAUAGAAUUUUCUAAUCGAUCUAUUAACCUAGGUUGUUACAUCCUGUUUUUUCUCAUGUGAUUAAUUCUGGUUUUAAUUCAUGUUUAGAUAGAGUUUAGAUUUUAGAAUUAACUUUCACUUGAAUGAUUUUAUUUUCGCACUCCCCUGUACUUUACAUGUACCCCCCUCCCCUUUCUGAUGUAUACUUUUACUUGCUUUGUCUUUUAUUGCUUUAUAGUUACUCCUUAGGCAUUAGGAGUGAUCACUCUUUCGCAAUCAAUAAGAAAACCCUUGAUCCAACGUCAAA